rnacentral:rRNA from 1 species
UACGUAGGGUGCAAGCGUUGUCCGGAAUUAUUGGGCGUAAAGAGCUCGUAAGGCGGUCUGUCGCGUCGGAUGUGAAAAUCAGGGCUCAACCCUGGACCUGCAUUCGAUACGGGCAGAACUAGAGUUCGGUAGGGGGUAGACGUGGAAUUCCUGGUGUAGCGGUGAAAUGCGCAGAUAUCAGGAGGAACACCGGUGGCGAAGGCGGGUCUCUGGGCCGAAACUGACGCUGAGGAGCGAAAGCGUGGGGAGCAAACAGG